GGGUGAGGAAUACAUCGGAAUCUACUCUGUCGUGGGGGAUAACGUAGGGAAACUUACGCUAAUACCGCAUACGACCUACGGGUGAAAGCAGGGGAUCUUCGGACCUUGCGCGAUUGAAUGAGCCGAUGUCGGAUUAGCUAGUUGGCGGGGUAAAGGCCCACCAAGGCGACGAUCCGUAGCUGGUCUGAGAGGAUGAUCAGCCACACUGGAACUGAGACACGGUCCAGACUCCUACGGGAGGCAGCAGUGGGGAAUAUUGGACAAUGGGCGCAAGCCUGAUCCAGCCAUACCGCGUGGGUGAAGAAGGCCUUCGGGUUGUAAAGCCCUUUUGUUGGGAAAGAAAUCCAGCUGGCUAAUACCCGGUUGGGAUGACGGUACCCAAAGAAUAAGCACCGGCUAACUUCGUGCCAGCAGCCGCGGUAAUACGAAGGGUGCAAGCGUUACUCGGAAUUACUGGGCGUAAAGCGUGCGUAGGUGGUCGUUUAAGUCCGUUGUGAAAGCCCUGGGCUCAACCUGGGAACUGCAGUGGAUACUGGGCGACUAGAGUGUGGUAGAGGGUAGCGGAAUUCCUGGUGUAGCAGUGAAAUGCGUAGAGAUCAGGAGGAACAUCCAUGGCGAAGGCAGCUACCUGGACCAACACUGACACUGAGGCACGAAAG
rnacentral:rRNA from 1 species